rfam:Enterococcus sp. 10A9_DIV0425 scaffold00003, whole genome shotgun sequence.
AAUAAGAUUUGUUAGGUGAGGCUCCUAUACAAACACAGGCUACUGCCCAAAAACGUCGAGAGACGCCAAUGGGUAGAACAGGAAUUGUCGACUUAAGGCUUUUCAUAAGGUAGCUAAAAGCAAAGUAAUUUGCUUUUUACGUUGUACAGUGUCAAAACUCAACGAUGAGAUCAUUGA